rnacentral:rRNA from 1 species
CGCUAACCUCCCCGUGCCCACACCUCCACCUCUUGCGCAGGAAGCGUGUUCCUAUUCUCCCGUCGUUUUGGCCUUCGUCCUAAGCGAGAGACUUACAGCAGCUAGGGUUCCAACCACCGCCGUCCUUUGCCCUCAACCGCCUCCCCUGUUCCCUCGGUACGUUCAAGAGCCUCCGCCAAGCCCUCCUCCCUCACCAGUUUCUCCGCGCGUCUGGGACGCACUCGACGUCGUCGCCCAUCCUCCUCGCGUUGGGGAACGCGUCGCCGCCGUCGAUUCAUCCGCAUGACCGGAGAUGCAGACGCCGGCGUUGUUCAUGCACAAUCCACACAGCCAGGAACGACGCAAGCACCGACGCCCCCGUCUUCCUCACACUGCAGUAGUUCAGCAGGAUUCUUCUACCCCAAACGAUGAACAAGAGAUGAUUUCUGCAGAGAGACAACAAGUUCAGAACCUGUUUGCUAAGGAAAUGACCAUAAUUUCGUGGUCAACCAAAAAGGCAUCUAUUCUUCAUCCCUUGAUCUCCCAGCUAUUCAUGAUGGUUCUAAUUCAUUUACAUUCAAGCCUCAUAAUGCUACUUUUAAGCCUCAUAACAAUCAGUUAAGUGUAAGACAAAAACCAUGUAGAAAAGCCAGUUCAACAACCUUUUUCGCCAAGCUUAUACUUGAAUGGGCUGAUGCAUGUAGAUGUGAUAUGUAAUUUUAGUAAGAUGGGAACAUGACGAUUGAUGUUUCAAGUGAUGAUAAUGCAUAGGGACUGGAGGCGUGGUUUGAGGCGGCAGUUAACCGUACAAUUUUCACGAAGAAUGAUUGUGUACAUUUUUACUCAAUACUCAUUUCUUGUGAUGCAUUAGGUUUUAAUUUUCUUGCUGCUAUGUGUGUGGAUCAAUCCUUACUCAUUUUCAUGCCGCUUGUGGUCUGAGUCCUUAUCUCUGCUUGGGGUGACGCUGCAAGAUCAGACGGAAACCUGACUUAUUAUGGUAGGCUCAGUCUCGUAUGUUCUUUUACCCCGCAGCUAAUCAAUUAUUCUGUGAUGUCCUCUCUUGUAUUCUAAUUAUGGCAUGCUCUUGUCUAUACUAAUUAGAUCAUGCAUUCCUUCAAGGUCAAGUCAGGGGCUUAGGGUAGACAGUUCAUAGUUUUCUUGCUAUUUCGUCUUUCUGUGUGUUACUUCAUUAUGCACGUCUUCUUUCUAUGCAUGUGUUGAUAACUCCAGUUCCAAUCUGAUGAUGCUUUUUUUUCGUGUUGUUGCUUCUGCAGGUUCUGAGAAUUUUACAUGGAUCAGGAAAUUCUAAUGUUUGACUUUGUAGUACUCAGAUUACCAAGAUAAAUUGAGGAUGCAUGACUCAGAUUUUGAUUGCAAGGCUAAGAAGAUUUUGAUUCCGAGGCAAAUAAUUCGGCUACAAGUCAAUUAGAAUGUAAUUUUUAGUAUCAAUGUUACAAACAUUAUAGUUGAUGGCAAGGUCAAGAAUUGGCCUACUACUAGAUAGUUUCACCUCUUGUAAUCUUUGGACCAUGUUCUUUGUAAUGCCAC